GUGCCAGAGCUGACCCACCUGUUCAAGUGUAAAAAACUUACAAUAGCUUAUAAGAGGUAAAAGUAGCUUACAAACCCCCCAAAUUGAAAAAGCAUGCAUCAUGCAUCCUUGUUUCUUUUUUAAUAAAUACAAUCUAUACUAGAGAGAGAGGAAAUUAUAACUGAACAAAAACAUAACUGCUGAAAAUUCUAUCCCAAAUGUCAAUCAUAUGCCAAAAUUUUAAGGUAGAAAGGGACAUGAAAAAUUAGUGUGGUCAAUUAGACCCAGAUUUGCAAGGUUCAUAUAAACUUGUCAUGUAUGUCCAAGGAUAAGAAACCAUAUAUUCUGGCAGGAGCCUUGUACAAUGUCCUAAUCCUGUGUAGUGACAGAACACAAAAGGCACAGAACAAAUGCUAGGUACAGGCAGAAAUCUCAUCUGCUAAAAACAAACUGCUUUACAGAUAGCAUCACCUGUUCACUUUUG
rnacentral:misc_RNA from 1 species